rnacentral:lncRNA from 1 species
GCGGUUACUCUUGACAGCAUUCAGAAUUGACAAUCCCCAGAGAGGUUUGUUUCCUCACCCGUCCGUGAAAGGAAAGCUUGAUUCUCCCCAAUUUAGUCCCUGGCAAGUGUCUGCCUUGUUUUGACAUAUAUAGAUGUCAUCCUUACAAUACCGGUGAGUGUCGUGUUGAUCCCCGUGUGGGUCCUUUCUUUUGGUGUCAGUAGACAUCAUCUCUUGAU